AUACGGAGGGUGCGAGCGUUAAUCGGAAUUACUGGGCGUAAAGCGCGCGUAGGCGGUUAGAUAAGUCUGAUGUGAAAGCCCUGGGCUCAACCUGGGAAUGGCAUUGGAUACUGUUUAACUAGAGUGCAGGAGAGGAGAGUGGAAUUCUCGGUGUAGCGGUGAAAUGCGUAGAUAUCGGGAGGAACACCAGUGGCGAAGGCGGCUCUCUGGACUGACACUGACGCUGAGGUGCGAAAGCGCGGGUAGCAAACAGGAUUAGAUACCCCAGUAGUCC
rnacentral:rRNA from 1 species